rnacentral:rRNA from 1 species
UACAGAGGGUGCAAGCGUUGUUCGGAUUCACUGGGCGUAAAGGGCGCGUAGGCGGCUUUGUAAGUCGGGGGUGAAAGCCUGUGGCUCAACCACAGAAUUGCCUUCGAUACUGCAUGGCUUGAGACCGGAAGAGGUUAGUGGAACUGCGAGUGUAGAGGUGAAAUUCGUAGAUAUUCGCAAGAACACCAGUGGCGAAGGCGGCUGACUGGUCCGGUUCUGACGCUGAGGCGCGAAAGCGUGGGGAGCAAACAGG